CCCUAAUCCAUAUGUAUGCAAUAACCGUGUUUUAGUUCCAAAGUCCGGAUUCAACGAAAUAUACAAAACUAGGUGUAUGGAAUCUUUUAUAACGACGCACUAAAUCUCUUGUAGUUCAAAGUCCGGAUACAACGAAAUACACAAAACUAGGUUGAUGGAAUCGUUCAUGAUGAUGCACUAACUGAGUUUUAGUUCCAAAGUCCGUAUACUACGAAAUACACAAAACUAGGUUUAUGGAAUCAUUCAUAACGACGCACUAAGUCUCUUGUAGUUGAAAGUCCUGGUACAACGAAAUACACAAAACUAGGUUGAUGGAAUCGUUCAUGAAUAUGCACUAACUGAGUUUUAGUUCCAAAGUCUGUAUCCUUCGAAAUACACAAAACUAGGUUUAUAGAAUCAUUCAUAAUGACGCACUAAGUCUCUUGUAGUUCAAAGUCUUGGUACAACGAAAUACACAAAACUAGGUUUCGGGAAUCGUUCAUAAAAUGACACUGUUGUAGUUCCAAAGUCGGUAUACAACGAAAUACACAUGACUAGGUUUAUGGAAAAGUUCAAAGAAGCCAAUAACUCUGUUGUAGUUCCAAAGUCC
rnacentral:lncRNA from 1 species